UACGAGAGGCCCGAGCGUUAAUCGGAAUCACUGGGCUUAAAGGGUGCGUAGGCGGAUCGUUAAGCGUCUUGUGAAAUCCCCCGGCUCAACCGGGGAAUUGCAGGGGGAACUGGCGAUCUUGAGGCAGGUAGGGGCGAUCGGAACGUUCGGUGGAGCGGUGAAAUGCGUAGAUAUCGAACGGAACGCCGAUGGAGAAGUCAGAUCGCUGGGCCUGUCCUGACGCUGAGGCACGAACGCGUGGGGAUCAAACAGG
rnacentral:rRNA from 1 species